UCUAGCGGAGAGUAAAAGAUGUGAUAUCUCCUAUUGUUUUUGAAACAUCCUACAGUCUUGAGGAACAUAUUGUUGGGAAUGAGGAAAAAGAGUUACCUGCCCUAAAACCUAUACUUCGCUGGAAAAAAGGACAGAAGAUAGCACAAAGAAAUCAGGUAAGAAGUGAUACUGCUUUUUUGGAGGUUUGAGAGGUUUGAUAGGAGGUUGGAUAUACAGUAUCUCACAAAAGUGAGUACACCCCUCACAUUUUUGUAAAUAUUUUCUUAUAUCUUUUCAUGUGACAUCACUGAAGAAAUGACCCUCUGCUGCAAUGUAAAGUAGUAAGUGUACAGCCUGUAUAACAGUGUAAAUUUGCUGUCUCCCCAAAAUAACUCAACACACAGCCAUUAAUGUCUAAACCGUUGGCAACAAAAGUGAGUACACCCCUAAGUGGAAAUGUCCAAAUUGGGCCCAAAGUGUCAAUAUUUUGUGUGACUACCAUUAUUUUCCAGCACUGCCUUAACCCUCAUGGGCAUGGAGUUCACCAGAGCUUCACAGGUUGUCACUGGAGUCCUCUUCCACUCCUCUAUGAUGACAUCACAGAGCUGGUGGAUGUUGCGCUCCCCCACCUUCCGUUUGAGGAUGCCCCACAGAUGCUCAAUAGGGUUUAGGUAUGGAGACAUGCUUGGCCAGUCCAUCACCUUUACCUUCAGCCUCUUUAGCAAGGCUGUGGUUGUCUUGGAGGUGUAUUUGGGGUUGUUAUCAUGUUGGAAUACUGCCCUGCGGCCCAGUCUCUGAAGGGAGGGGAUCAUGCUCUUCUUCAGUAUGUAACAGUACAUGUUGACAUUCAUGGUUCCCUCAAUGAACUGUAGCUCCCUAGUGCCGGCAGCACUUAUGCCCAGACUAUGACACUCCCACCACCAAGCUUGACUGUAGGCAAGUCUUUGUACUCCUCACCUGGUUGCCACCACACACGCUUGGCACCAUCUGAACCAAAUAAGUUUAUCUUGGUUUCAUCUGACCACAGGACAUGGUUACAGUAAUCUAUGUCCUUAGUCUGCUUGUCUUCAGCAAACUGCAGGCUUUCUUGUGCAUCAUCUUUAGAAGAGGCUUCCUUCUGGGACAACAGCCAUGCCGACUAAUUUGAUGCAGUGUGCCACGUAUGGUGUGAACACUGACAGGCUGACCCCCCAUCUCUUAAACUUCUGCAGCAAUGCUGGCAGCACUCAUAUGUCUAUUAUCCAAAGAUAAGCUCUGGAUAUGACGCUGAGCAUGUGCUCAUGUAUGGUCUUGCCCACCAUGCUGCAGCUCAGUUUCAUGGUGUUGGCAAUCUUUUUAUAGCCUAGGUCAUCUUUAUGUAAAGCAACAAUUCUUAUUUUCAGAUCCUUAGGGAGUUCUUUGCCGUGAGGUGCCAUGUUGAACUUCCAGUGACCAGUAUGAGAGAGUGUGAGAGCGAUCACACCAAAUUUAAAACACCUGCUCCCCAUUCACACCUAAGACCUUGUAACACUAAUGAGUCACAUGAUACCUGUGAGGGAAAAUGGCUAAUUGGGCUCAAUUUGUACAUAUUCACUUAGGGGUGUACUCACUUUUGUUGCCAAUGGUUUAGACAUUAAUGGUUGACAUGACUAAAUACAGCAAAACACUGCACAUACAGGCUCCAAGCACCAUGACAACUUCAAAACAAUUAAGUAGCUAUGGUGCUUAGAGUAUCCCUUCAUUGUGUGUGUGUGUUGAGGUAUUUUGAGUGGACAGCAAAUUUAUACUGUUAUACAGGCUGUACACUUACACUCUGCUAAAAUGUAAAGUUGUAAUUUCUUCAGUGUUGUCACAUGAAAAGAUGUAAUAAAAUAUUUACAAUAAUGUGAGGGGUGUACUCACGUUUGUGAGAUACUGUAUGUACAAAUAACAUAUUACAUAUCCCCUCUUAUCUUAUGGCAGUUCCAUCUAGGCUUGGCGUGCAAGGUUAGAGCUUUAACCAGUGAGUCACUUCCAUGCUGCUUCUGGGUCAUUGGUAUUGUUAUUGGAAGCUCAAGAUUGAAUGCUUGUAUAUCUGUUAUAAAAGCCAGGCACUAUCAAUCUACAAACACAGGAAUCCAUGAAAUCAGUUAGUGCUGAAUAUACUAUGAUGGAUGGUUGAAAGAGCUCAUGCUAUGUAUUUUUUUUUAACAAUAUCCACUUUGGUGGUUCUAGUGUCUCCUAAUUUGUCCAGCAUGAACAAAUAUAUCUCAAUAUAUUAAUGGAUCAGUGUUUUUGUGCUACAGAGAGAUAGAUGGAUAAAAAAAGAGUAAACUAGGCUAACAUUCUAAAUUCUUACUGCUUGGAUCCAGGGCCAGACUGUGGCGGGGCCAGAGAGGGAGGUGGUUUGUCAACACCAGUGACAAGCAUGCCUUCUCUCAAAGUGAGCAUGUAGGUUCAGUGCUCUAGCAGGACAUACCAUGUGCAGAGUCCUACUAAAGAUCUCUCACAUGUUCAGCACAAGCAAAUUUAAUGACAUGCUUGCGUUGUGUUUGCUGGUGACUUGUCUCUGGUGUCUCCAUAAGUGGUAUAUCAAAGGACAAAAGGUUCAGGAAAGUGUAUUGUGCAUGGUUUUGUAGGCUGCUACCAGGAUUGCAUGUGUAGAGAGCUGAUUGUAGUUUGUUGUUUUUUGUAAAUAGUUUGGUUUCACUGUUGAUUUUGUGUUUGUGAUGUAAAAUGUGUUGCAAGUGAUUGUAGAGAGUUAGAGAGUGCGUGUGUGCAUAGGGCGCGUAGUGUUUAUAUGGUUGUAGUGAGUGUGUGCAUAGGGGCUAUAGUGUAUGUGUCGAUAGGUGAUGUAGUGUGUGUUCAGUGAACGUAGUGCGUGUUAAGUUCAGGGGAUCCAGAGUGUGUAUGCCAGAAAUGUGUGUAUGUGAAGGUGGUGCAGGGUGUGUCUAUAGGGGUUCUGUUGUGUUUGUAGAAGAUCUACUGUGUAUGUGUAGAGGAUCCAGAAUGUGUAGAGUAUUUGUAAGUGGUAGAAUGUUGUAGAGUGUUUGUAAGUGGUAGAGUGUGUAUAAGGGAUCUAGUGUGUAUGGGUACAGUGUGUGUGAGGGUACAAUGUGUGUAUGUGUGUGUGUGAGGGGUGCAGAUGGUAGCAAAGCAAAUUUAUUUUUUAAUUAAAAAUAAACUUUACAGCCCCCCUUCCUUCUUACCUUUGGCCCGGGAGGGGGGAUAUUGCAAGCCCUGGUGGUCCGAUGGUGAAGCUCUCAUGGUCCAAUGGUGAAUGAACUCUAGCCUGCAGCUACUUGGGCCAGAGUUUACUCUCUUGAGAUUUCUGUUGGAGUCUUGCUAUGAGAACCUACAGGACCUGGCAGAGCAGUAGGCUAUAGCCCCUAGGUCCUCCUCUCUCCCCCUUUAUCUGCCAGAUUUAAGUGCCAGUUAUGGCACACAGUAGGGCAGGUACUUGGAUAGCGCUGGCCCUGCAUGAGCCAGCAGCAUCAUUAUGGGCAGGCAGGGGGGAUCAGCAGAUCUCGACCAAUGGCUAUCGCAGCCCAUUGGUGGCCAGCCCGAGCCUGCUUGGACCUAAAAAAAAAUUGUUUCUUUACAUUGAUAUUUAUAUUGAUUCUUCACCCUACUAUUAUUUCUAACAUAUAUAUAUAUAUAUAUAUAUAUAUAUAGUAUUAAUAUUUUUUUGCAGUGCAUUUAUCCAAUUAUUUAACAAUAAGUAAUUCACUAAAAACUAAUAAUGACAGGCACAAGCAGUAAAGAAGAGUCAGCAAUAAAAACAUUUUAGCACCAAUCUAUUGCCAUGUUCCCCCCAGUCCCCCCCCCCAAAAAAAAUAAUACUUUUGUUAUUUUUAUUUUAUUUUUUAUUUAUAAAUUCUUAUUUUAUUUUAUGUUUGCACCACUGAUCGACAUCACAAUUUACAGUACAUGUUUUCAUUCUUGUUUUCAUUCUUGUUUCUAUUACACGGUAGAUACACAUUGUGUCCGCUUAUCAGGUAUGGUAACCAUAUUUCCUGGGCCUUUAUCUAACAACAUUGGUCCUUCGUGUAUGUGUUUUAUUUGCUUCCAUCGGUGCUACCUCCAUUGGUAGUUGAUGUCGUAAUAUAACAUAAUACCAAUUGUGUAACAUAAACUAUAACAUAAAUUAGAACAUAAUGCAAAGUACAAGAGAACAUAAUGCAAACAAAAAAUUGGUACAGCAAAUAUGUAUGACAUUAUUAUCCCUAUCCACACUACUCUUCUAUUGUGUGGUUGGUGUAUGUUAAGUCCAGAAGACCCUCUGUUGGCAUGCUCUUCCUGUACUUUUGCACUGUCCCCUUAGUUUUUCCAUUAGUUUGUUUAAAUCAGCUUGGAUAUCCAUUUUCGGACGUCGCCUCCCCCUUCACACCUAGGUUUUCCUGUUGUGUGAUUGGUUUGCCCCAUGUUUCCCUCCCAGGUGCGUUUGAUGUUCUCAUGGAACCCCUUUUUCUAGCUUUGACAUCAUAGUUUUUCCAUGGUUACCAAAUCUUGUCUUCUAUGGUUGAUUAAUCUUUUUCCAAUUUGCCGCCACUUCUGUUUUCGCCGUCGUGAGCAUUAAAUAGAGGAGAGCGUUUUUGUAUUUGCAUUUGUGCUGGGAUGAGGUAGGCUCAGGUACCUGUAAUAGCAUCGUCUGGACAUUGAAGGUCAGGGAUAGGUCCAGUACCCUCUUAAUCAUUUCCUUUAUGUCUCUCCAGUAUUUUUGUACUAUGGAGCAUUCUCACCAUAUUUGCUGAAGGCUCCCCUUUUCUUUGUGACAUCGCCAGCAUAGUGGAGAUAUCGAGCUAUCUAUGCUAUAUAGGUUUUGUGGUGUGAUAUACCACCUAGUGAGAAUUUAAGGUUUGCUUCUUGUAAGGGUAUAUUUAUAUGAGAGUGAAAUGUCCUCUGAAACACCUCGAGCCAUGUCUGUUCAGGCAGGGGGUUAGUUAGGUGUUUGUUUGUCUCAUAUACCGAGGCAAUGUCGAUUGCUUGGCGAUUUGUUACACAGUGUAGCAGGAAGAUAAUGUUUUGGUAGGUGUUGUCUUUUGUGAGCAUAUUUGUUCGUAUUUAGUUUCCGCUCUGAUACCUGUCUCUGGGAUAGAAAGGGUGUUAAUUAAGUUUUUUAUUUGGUGGUAUUGAAAACUUUGAGUGAAUGAUGGAGGAUCUCAUGUGGUCAACUGAGAAAUAGGUUUAAGCCAUGGUUCGAACAACCAUACUCCUACUGGUGGUGUUUUGGUCUGGGUGGGGUCAUGAAUUGGUGGUAGUGUGAAGCCUCAAUCUCCUGCAUGGAAAAGUGAGUUUUUGGUUAUAGGGAAGUGUGGGGAUAUCCCUGGGGCCACAUUUGGCAGUGGUGCAAAUUUUUUCCAGAUUCGUAAGGUUGUGGAAAUGAGUGGUUAGGUACAAAAUAACAUGACGUCAUUGCAUGUAGCCAUGGUAUUCCUUUUAUUGAUGUUUGUACGUGGGAAUGUUCUAUUUGUAUCCAUAAUUUGGAUUCAGUCCCCCGACCCAAUCUAAUAUUCUACUAAGGUCCACCGCAUAUUGGUAAUGUAGUAUAUUUGGGAGGCCUAUCCCUCCUCUGGAUUUGGGUUUUAGUAAGGUUUGGUACACUAAGCGUGGCCUUUUCUUUGCCCAGAUAAAGCUAGUGAAGGCCUGUUGCAGUGACCUGAAAAACCUUUUUGGUUGUGUUAUCGGUAGUGUGUUUAGUAUAUAUAGUUUUUUGUUAUCAUUACCAUGAGUUAUAUAGAAAUUAAAAUGGGACAUUUAGAGGUGAAGAAGGUCCUGCUCAAAAAUAAUUCAUUAUAUUUUGAGGUAGGCAGACAUAUAUUGUUAGGUUUCUUGCCCACAGGUACUUACUGGUGAGGUGGUCUGAUUGGGAUUUGAAACUAGGUUUCCCAGUUCUAAGACAGUGAUGUUACCACUGCUGUCAUAAAACCAUUCAAAAUAUGCCAUAUAUUGAAUAUAAAUAUACCAACGUGUGCACACUUUAACAAUGAAGUGAGUUAAGCUCAACACUUAUGUGAAGGAUCUCCUUAACCCUCACAACCACAUACAACUAUAUUCAAAAAGAUAUAAGUGGAGCUUUAGAGUACCUGGUUAUACACUGAGUGUACUUGAUUGCAUUUUUUACAGGAAUCUGUAAAUGAUACAUAACAUAUACAUAGUGCAGAUAGUCUGUACAAUAAAAUGUAAAUAGGGAAAUGACAAUUCACAACUCACAAGCUGUAGCGCCAACUGAUCACCUGGCUCUAGUGUGUAGCACUCUGGGAUCUGUCAGGGGAGAUCCACCACCCCCUUGUAUCUCCUUCUGGUCUCCUUCACCUUCAGAUUCUUGUGCAGGAAUGGACAGGAAACUCCAGUAGUAGAAAGAUACAAAUUUAUUGAGAACUUGAGAUACUUGUAUAGUAUAAAAUCCAAAAUAAGUCCAAAGUCCAAAACGCAUUUUGCCAUAAACUGGCUUCCUCAGUUGGCUGUGUAGUCUGUGUAACGUUCUUUCCAUCUUAUAUACUGCUUUAAUUUUUAGAUUGCCGGUGUUCUAUCAAAUUCCCCUACCUGUGAAAAUCCCCUACCCUCGUCACUUCCGGUGAGGGAAAUCAGCUGGAUCCUGUGCUGCACAUGCGUGCUAGCACUCCUGCUACUCCUCUACAGCAAUGUCCUGGUUUUACACUUUCAUUAUAGUUAGUGCAUUCACUAAGCUUAGGACAUGGGACAUUUAGGGUUAAUGUUAGGGUUCAAAUUAGGGUUAGGAUUAGGGACUUGUUCAUAUUUAGUGAUAUUUCACAUUAGGCGAAUAUCACUAAAUAGUGAUUUCUCACACUUUAUUUUAACCCUUACCCCAAGGGUUAGGGUAAGAAUAGUGUGAGAGAGGUUAGAAUCACUUACCUAACCCUAAUUUGAACCCUCACUUAACCCUAAAUGUCCCGUGUGCCUAAGCCUAGUGAAUGCACUAACUAUAAUGAAAGUGUAAAACUAGUUUUACUUACCUUCCAGGACCUUGCUGUGGAGGAGUAGCAGGAGUGCUAGCACGCAUGUGCAGCACAGGAUCCAGCUGAUUUCCCUCACCGGAUGUGAUAAGGGUAGGGGAUUUUCACGAGGUAGGGGAAUUUGAUAGAACACCGGCAUCCGUGGACCCGGAAGUGCCUUAAGUGGAACGCACGUUAUGUCAGGUGAAAUGCACGUUCCGUUCUUAUGCCGAUCACAUGACCCGGAAGUGUCUUUUCGUCCCGUGGUGCAUGUGUGAGCCUUGCAAAGAGUCCUGGCGUUUAUAGAUUCUCAUUUUUGCUGAAAAAAAAUUAUUAAAGGAAAUGUGAGCAUUCUGAAUCAACAGGGAUAUAUUAUAAAACAAAAAACAUUUUACAUCAACUUUUUCACAACAAGACAAUUUAAAGUGCUUAGUGCUCUUCUUUUAAGGUGCUUUUUGAAUCAGUGCAAAACAAUAAAAAUUACCACAUCACCAUACAGUGAUUUUAUUGGCAUUAUCAUUGUAAAACAUGGAGGAGGGAUGAGAUGAAGGCUCCUUUAUAAAAAUAUAUGAAUAAAAUACAAUAUCUAUAAAAUGUAAAAUAUGAUGGGGAACUUUUUAAAAUUUAAUAUUAAGAAUUUUACCCAAUUGGAUUUAAAGAUAUAAUGUCAAAAUAUACAAUUUAAAAAUAUUUAAUUUCAAGAUAAAAAGUGACAAAGUUCAAAAUCUAAAUUAAGACCAUGUGGCGCUAAAGUGUUAAAAUUGAAAAUAAAUAAGAUCCCCUUCAUAUUUUACAUUUUAUAGAUAUUGUAUUUUAUUCAUGUAUUUUUAUAAAGGAGCAUAUGGGUGUGCAUAUGCAAACUAUGUCAACAAAGAAUCACAUUUUUGCCUCAUUCCAUUUUAAUAGAUAUAGUAAUAAACCCAAGGCACACCAAUAUUUGCACAUAAAAAAUGUUUAUUCAUGCAUUGAAGAAAUACAUCAAGUAACUUUGACAGAAAAAAAGUGCACAGCAUAGUGCAUACCAAAUCAAUAGUACCAGUACCACAAUAGUAAUAAAGUGCUUAUUACAUACACCCAUCAAAAAUGUAUACUGACCAAGAGCAGGAGAAAUUAAGUCUCAUCCAGAGAAGGUAAUAGGUUUAAACUCUUAAGCCAAAGGGUAUUGGAUAUACAGGUUAGAUACACUGUAUCCAAAUGGCAUGAAUGAUGAUAGGGAUUUUGCCUGCUUUAGAUAAUAAAUUUAGCCUUUUUUAACAUUGUUUACUGGAUAAUCUAUAUUUGUCUUUUUUGUCUAGUUCUUAUAUAUAUAUAUAUAUAUAUAUAUAUAUAUAUAUAUAUAUAUAUAUAUAUAGAAUAACAAGUACUUUUUAUACCACAUUACUUCUCACCCACUUUCAGUUGAGCUUUUCUUAUAAUUAUAUAUUCAAAUAUUGUCAUUGCAUUUUAAACAUGGAUUCCUUUGAGUCUGUGUUUGCUGUAUACAACAGUUUUGAAACACAGCUUAGGAAAAGAUGCAAAGCCAUUGGGAAAAGCAAGUCUUAUGGCUUGACUGGUGUGCAGAUUUUUGUUUAACAUUGUAUUAACUAUAUAUAUAUAUAUAUAUAUAUAUAUAUAUAUAUAUAUAUAUAUAUAUAUAUAUAUUUGUAAUAAAAAUUAUUCAUACCCCAGCAAAAAUCAGGUUUAUUGUCAAAAUGUACAGACUUUCAGAUGUUUGCAAUAAACAAAUCAAACAUAAGCAAUUGAAAUAGCUCAACACAAUGAAUGCUUCAACUGGUUUCCACCAUUGAAGAUGCAUCUUAUAAUGACUCCUCCAGUCUGCUGGGCUCUGGUACCAUAACCUCUACAGCACAUAUUUUAAUGUUUGUUGCUGAUUUCUACUUAUACCAGUUCUCUCAUGCAAGCUGAAACAUGUUGAAAUAGAAAUAUUGGUAUAGCUUAAACUAGUUACGCAUAUCAGCUAAUUUCAUAUCUUCAGAUUAAGAUGACCUGGAAGGUCCAAUACUAUUUAUGGUUCUAAUAUAGAUAAUAUUAAUCCCAUACCUGAAAUUAUCUAUAUUCCAAUUAUUAUUUUUUUAGAAAAUACAAAGUAGUGUGAUGAUUGCAAACAUACUUUUUAGUAUGGGUUAAUAAAUUAAAAUAGUACAGGACGUCAUUGGACAUUAACUAAUGGAAGUGAUACAUACAAUAUGAAUUGUUUAUUGUUUGACCAAAAGGUAAUUUUGUAUGCUGUUUUAAAGGUAUGAUUUACGUUUUGUGAGUCAUUGUUAAAGUUUUGUCAACCGUUGUCAACUGAUCAACUGGAUUAUAUGCAACUAAAAAUUACAACUAUAAUAAUACGCUAAAUGGGGAUAAAACUCUGUGCAUCACUCUGAUACUCCUGCGACCUCUGCCUGGGCCCCUGUGUCCCACAACUGCAUCACAGACUCGUAAAUACAACAUGCCACAGAGAGGCAUCUGCUGACUUGAUGGAGACUCCUGUUGGUUGGAUUAUUGCUGCAUCAUAGUGUUAUUUUACUCAUAUCAUGCCAGUGGUGCCUGAUGUCUUGUCUCCACCUGGGGAGCCUUUUAGGUGUUAUCUUAUGUAAAAUAUCUAUGACUUAUCUUUGUUACACUACUGUUCUCUUGCAUGACGACUGCUACUGUAACCCCUUAAGGACACAUGACGGAAAUAUUCCGUCAUGAUUCUCUUUUAUUCCAGAAGUUGUGUCCUUAAGGGGUUAAUAUUCAUGAAAAUAAAAAGUGCAGUUACUCCUGACAUUCUAUGUUCUAAUUAUCAACCUGAAGUUGCUUGUUUUGCUUAAUAUGAAAUGUUAAUGUCAAUUAGUGUAUACAUCUCUGCACAUUUAAAAUAAAGAAUGUAAAAAAAAACCCAAACAAACAACUAGCAGUGCAUUGAAUAUCAUGCCUUAAGAGAGAAAUAUUAUAGGCUGUUUUGUCUAAUUUUCCUUCUAUUUCAAUUAAUAGCACAAAAGAUGUAUCUAUAAUUUUGGAUUACCUAUGAUCACUGGUGCUAGCUUUCCCUCACUACUACUAUUAGUUGAGUUAUGCAUUUGUCUUGAAUUUUAUAGUUUUUUUUUGUUUUUUUUAUUUCAUAUUAAACCCUUUAUUCACUAAGCUUUGAAUUGUAUUGAAGUGAAAAUUUAAUGGCAAAAUUCAAGAAUAGUCACAUUGUGACUUUAAUUGAGUUUAACAAUUUUCUAAAUCUGCUAUUUUUGUGGAAUUUUGCAAUUCAGGUUUAAGGUUUCUAUAAUUUAGAGUAUAGUUAACGCCUUAAAGAUGGCAGGCGUGCUAUGCCAUUCUACAAAAUGUGGGCUUUAACUCUGCAGGGCGACGCCCACUCGGGUCAUACAUACUCGUCUUUCCCACAUAUGCUAAUUAGAGACAUUGACAACCCAGGCAGCCCCCGUGCAGCCAAUUCUUCUGGGUCAUGUGAUAGUGAUGAUAGCGUAAUCACGUGGCCGGCUUUGCAGUUUGAAAAACUGCCUACAGUGGACUGCAGAUACAAAAUAGAUAGAUACAAAAGUCCAUAGAAACCUGCACUCUGAAGUAGAAUUAUAGUUCAAUGCCUGGUUCUCAUCCACAAUUAUACAAAAGCAUAUUUUCUAUGCUAUAACUCCAAGGACUUUUUAAAGUAGUAGAAAUAUAAAACGUAGCUUUUGUUUAAAUCAUACAAAAAUAAAAAAUCGGCGUUUCAGUUUAAAUACUAAACUUUUCAUCAGGAUCAAAAAAGUUUAUGAUACUGAUGAAAGUUUAGUAUUUAAACUGAAAAUGCUAUUAAAAAAAGACUGGCCAUUUAGAAUACCCUGAGUUGUCUAUUUUUGCAAAUGGUAUGCCAUGAUGGGGGCCUUUUUCCUGGUUUGCCAUACGGUGUCAAAGGCAACCUGACCAACCUGGCAAGUUUCUGUGUGUAAAAAAAGAAUGUGCAAGACGUAUAUUUGACUCUGUAACUUUUCAAAACCCCAUAAAACCUGUACAUGGUGGGUACUGUUGUACACGUGAGACAUCAAAUACGAGUGUUUUAAAGCAUAUACAACAAAUAUAAACAGAAAGUUUGGCCAGGGUUUGUGACUAAGUGGCUACUUAAAGAAGACUGGACUAACCUCAUUUUAAAUACCCUGCAUUGUCUAUUUUUUUGUAAAUGGUAUGCCAUGAUGGAGGUCAUUUUCAUUCCUUGGCUGCAAUGGCAACAUAGGCCCAGCAAACCAAUCUAGCAAAUUUCUACGUCUAAAAAAAGUCUUUAACUUUUCCAAAACACCAUAAAACGUAUACCCAUGGGACAGCAGAGCAUAGAUCUAAGUGUCCUUUAUUGCAGUACAAGCUAACAGUAUUGUGUGAUUCACAAUUAAAAUGUCAUGCAGAGCUUAAAAAAUACAAUUUCUUAAUGUCUCACACUUUUUAAAGAUUUUUUAUUUUAUUUUAAAUUUUGUUCCAUGUUUAAAUAUUUGAUGUGAAAUAAAAGCCUUUUUCUCCUGAACAAAAUUAUAUAUAAUAAGGGUGAACCUAAUAUUAGAGAUGUAACUUAUAGUUGAACAUAUAUAUAUAUACAGUUGCAAGAAAAAGUAUGUGAACCCUUUGGAAUGAAAUGGAUUUCUGCACAAAUUGGUCAUAAAAUGUGAUCUGAUCAUCAUCUAAGUCACAACAAUAGACAAUCACAGUCUGCUUAAACUAAUAACACACAAAUAAUUAAAUGUUGCCAUGUUUUUAUUGAACACACAAUGUAAACAUUCACAGUGCAGGUGGAAAAAGUAUGUGAACCCUUUGAUUUAAUAACUGGUUGAACCUCCUUUGGCAGCAAUAACUUCAACCAAAGUUUCCUGUAGUUGCAGACCAGACGUGCACAACGGUCAAGAGUAAUUCUUGACCAUUCCUCUUUACAGAACUGGUGCAGUUCAGCAAUAUUCUUGGGAUGUCUGGUGUGAAUCGCUUUCUUGAGGUCAUGCUACAGCAUCUCAAUCAGGUUGAGGUCAGGACUCUGACUGGGCCACUUCAGAAGGCAUAUUUUCUUCUGUUUAAGCCAUUCUGUUGUUGAUUUACUUCUAUGCUUUGGGUCAUUGUCCUGUUGCAACACCCAUCUUCUGUUGAGCUUCAGCUGGUAGACAGAUGGCCUUAAGUUCUCCUGCAAAAUGUCUUGAUAAACUUGGGAAUUCAUUUUUCCUUCGAUGAUAGCAAUCCGUCCAGGCUCUGAUGCAGCAAAGCAGCCCCAAACCAUGAUGCCACUACCACCAUACUUCACAGCUGGGAUGAGGUUUUGAUGUUGGUGUGCUGUGCCUUUUUUUUCGCCACACAUAGUGUUGUGUGUUUCUUCCAAACAACUCCAACUUUGGUUUCAUCUGUCCACAGAAUAUUUUGCCAGUACUGCUGUGGAACAUCCAGGUGCUCUUGUGCAAACUGUAAAUGUGCAGCAAUAUUUUGUUUGGACAGCAGUGGCUUCCUCUGUGGUAUCCUCCCAUGAAAUCCAUUCAUGUUUAGUGUUUUACGUAUUGUAGAUUCGCUAACAGGGAUGUUAGCAUUUGCCAGUGACUUUUGUAAGUCAUUAGCUGACACUCUAGGAUUCUUCUUCACCUCAUUGAGCAGUCUGCGCUGUGCUCUUGCAGUCAUCUUUACAGGACGGCCACUCCUAGGGAGAGUAGAAGCAGUGCUGAACUUUCUCCAUUUAUAGGCAAUUUGUCUUACCAUGGACUGAUGAAAAGCAAGGCUUUUGGAGAUACUUUUAUAACCCUUUCCAGCUUUAUGCAAGUCAACAAUUCUUAAUCGUAGGUCUUCUGAGAACUGUUUUGUGCGAGGCAUCAUUCACAUCAGGCAAUGCUUCUUGUGAAAAGCAAACCCAGAACUUGUGUGUGUUUUUUAUAGGGCAAGGCAGCUGUAACCAACACCUCCAAUCUCAUCUCAUUGAUUGAUCCAGUUGGCUGACAUCUCUCUCCAAUUAGCUCUUGGAGAUCUCAUUAGUCUAGGGCAGUGUUUCCCAACCCAGUCCUCAAGGCACACCUACCAGUCCAGGAUUUAGGGAUUACCCAGUUGUGUCUAAGGUGUUUUUACAAAGAAGAAAAAAAACACCUUAGACACAACUGGGUAAUCCCUAAAUCCUGGACUGGUAGGUGUGCCUUGAGGACUGGGUUGGGAAACACUGGUCUAGGGGUUCACAUACUUUUCCCACCUGCACUGUGAAUGUUUACAUUGUGUGUUCAAUAAAAACAUGGCAACAUUUCAUUCUUUGUGUAUUAUUAGUUUAAGCAGACUGUGAUUGUCUAUUGUUGUGACUUAGAUGAUGAUCAGAUCACAUUUUAUGACCAAUUUGUGCAGAAAUCCAUAUCAUUCCAAAGGGUUCACACACUUUUUCUUGCAACUGUGUGUAUAUAUAUAUAUAUAUAUAUAUAUAUAUAUAUAUAUAUAUAUAUGUAAUGGGCAGAAUACACUGACCCUGAGGCGUGGAAAAAAUGGAUGGAGAAGAGAUAGAAACAGACAGGCAGGAAAUCUCUACUAGUAAAAGAAAGCCCCCAUAAAAGCUAAGAGAAUUAAAUGAAUAAUAGUAGGUGAAAAAGCCCACACGUACUAGAAGAGUCCUAGUACGUGUGGGCUUUUUCACAUACUAUUAUUUAUAUAUAUAUAUAUAUAUAUAUAUAUAUAUAUUAUGUGUAUAUAUCUAUUCAAUGAAACAGUUUUUUGCCAGCGUAACCCUUACUGUCCUGCACCACCAGAAUUUUUUUUAAAAAAAAGCAAAAUGUACUUUUCAUUCUUAUAAUAGUUACAUAGCUGAAAAGAGACUUGCGUCCAUCAAGUUCAGCCUACCUCACAUUUGUUUUUUGCUGUUGGUCCAAAAGAAGGCAAAAAAAACCAGUUUGAAGCACAAUUUUGCAACAAGCUAGGAAAAAAAUUCCUUCUUGACCCCAGAAUGGCAGUCAGAUUUAUCCUUGGAUCAAGCAGUUAUUACCCUACAUUGAAAGAUUAUAUCCUUGAAUAUUCUGUUCUUGCAAGUAUGCAUCUAGUAGCCGCUUGAACAUCUGUAUGGACUCUGAUAAAACCACUUCCUCAGGCAGAGAAUUCCACAUCCUGAUUGUUCUUACAGUAAAAAAACCUCUCCUUUGCCUUAGACGAAAUCUUCUUUCUUCCAGUCUAAACUCAUGUCCUCGUGUCCUAUGUAAAGUCCGGUUCUGUGCUGAGAUCAAGUUUUUGAAGCCCAAUCCUCCACCUUUGACAUUUCGCUCUCUAACUGCAAGGGGACGAUGUUUUAAGGGGAGGACCCCUCCGUGCCUCCAUUUGUCACAUGUCUCCUGCAUGAUGCUAUAACAACUCUCUCUUACACCUUCUGUAGCACAGGGAUAUAACACUAUAAUGUAAUAGUGAAAUGCUGCACAUACAGGAUCCAAGCACCAUGACUAAUUCAAAUCACUAAUAAUCCGUAAUAAUGAAAAUGGCUAGUGUAGAUUCAAAAUUAUAAGUUCACGUCAAGUUACCAACAAUUCAUCCUUUCAUAAAUAACCCUAUCAGUCUCAAAUUCUUAUAGGUUUAUACACUGUGAACUAAAAUUACAUACGUUGAUAACUGACUUGCUAAAUACAAGCCAGUAUAGUAGAGUUUGGGUAAGUGAAGAUUUGCUCUAGUUAUCCACCACUUUAGUGAUUUGAAGGUCAUGGUGCUUGAAAACUAUAUGUGCAGCGCUUCACUAUGUCAUUUAACCUCUCUAUUGCCAGAGGUGGAAUUCCCCCUCUGGCAGUCCAGAGGUGGAAUUCCCCCUCUGGCAGUGUCAUUUAGCCUGGCAAGAACUAAUAUCAUUUCUGUGCAUAUUUCUUGCUCAUUCAUUGGCUGAGAGAGGUGUAUACAUGUAUACAUAUCAAAAGAUCUCAACUGUAUGUGUUUGAUGCAGAAGGGAGUUGUCAUUUCCUUCUGUGAUACAAUACGUUAUCAUUUGUGUUUCGUGCACAGAGAAAGCAUGGUUAUGAGAGUUAGCAUAUGGUGUUAAAAUGUUGUAUUUAUAGAAUUAAAUAAACUGUAUUACUGUAUAACUCUAUUCCAAGCUGUGUAAAUUGUAUAACUCUAUUACAAGCUGGAAAGAAAUGUAAAACGUUUGCCAUUUACUUGUUGGUUAUAAGUUAUUUGGGAAAAUGAGCAGUAAAUGAAAGCAAUACUUAAGUUAAGUGAGUGAUGAAAAUCGUGUUCUUUUUAAGUUAUAUGUUGAAUGUUUCUUAGAAAUUAGCAAGUUUUAUUGAUUUGAGCAUACACUUGCAACAUUUAAACCAAAAUAAAAAAUAUGGAAAAUCACCUUUUCAUUUUUUUUCCAAUUCCAAGUCCAAUUUUUUUGUUGGUAGUUGGUUCUCAGAUCAGCAUAAACCAUCUGAUUAUUGCUUUGGCCUUGGUAUUUCUUUAAAGGGCAAUUAUGAAGUACAAGGCAAUAAAUGAGAUCAGUAUCCACAGAAGUCGUUUUGUAAACCAUUGUAAUAGUUUGGAGGCAAAUUACAUCUUUGUUGCAACGUUAAAGUAAAUGCAAUUACGCUGACCACUGGGGCAUAGCAGUGACUAAGCACAUAGUAGACUUAGUAAAAUCUAAAUGUAAACAUUGCCAUAUGUUACUGAAUGUCACUGGCUGAAUCUGGAAUAUAAGGCAGCAUUAAGUAAGAUCUGUAAGUGGAAAUUAUUUAAAAUAAUUUUUUUUUAAAAGCAGUAUAAAAAAAACAACUGUUUGGAGGCUUGUAUUUUACGGUAGGUGAUAUGUUACCUCCUAUAAUGUAGGAACUAAAAUAAGAUGUAUUAAGAUUGCCCAGCUCCUUAAGUAGGAUGCCAGAUAAAAAGCCUAUUUCUGUGAGAGCAGUCCCGGACUGGCAAUUAGGCAUACCGGUCAAAUGCCCAGUGGGCCACGAUGGCCAUGGGCCGAGGCCGACAGGGGAGAUCAAGAGAUAUAUAAGCGCCGAUCCUGCUGUGUGCCUUCAUGGGCUGGUGGGGAGAUCAAAGAUCCAUCCAUCACUGGCCCACAGGCAGUGACAUGCAGCCGCCAGCUGGAGAGGGUGGGAGACAGGAGAGGACCUGGGGAGCUCUAGCCAGCAACUCCGCCUGGUUCCUCUCACGAGAUCGGAGCGUUGCCGCUGUUACCACGCAGGCUAGAGUUCACUCACCACUAGGACCACCAGGGAUUGCAGCACGGCCCCCCUCCAAGGCAAAAUGUAUGAAGGGGGGAGGGAUACUUAAUAUUUACAUUAAUCUAUUUCCCCCUCCCCCACACACCACACCUCCAAACAUAUUCACACACAUAUAACCCUCACACACACACAUCACCCUCACACACACACCACCCUCACACACAUAUAGAGGACUCUUCACAUACACACACACACACACACAGCACCCCUCACACACUGCACCAUUCACAUACACACUACGGAAUCUGUUGGCACUAAAUAAAUGCCAAUAAUAAUAAUACACACACAGAACCUUCACACACUGCACCCCUGAUAUACACACACACAGCACCCCUCACAUACACACACAGCACCCCUCACAUACACACACAUCACCCUCACAUACAAACACAUCAACCCUACACACUGCACCCCUCACAUACACACAGCACCCUCACACACUGCAACCUUCAAAUACAUACACUCACACACACACAGCACCCUGCCACACACACAGCACCCUCACACAAAGCAGCCUCAAACAAACACAGCAUCUCUCACAUACAGCCCCCACAGGCACACACAACACACUCGCACACACAGCACCCCUCACACACACACAUACUGCACUCCCCCAACGUACUGCACCCUUCAUACACACUGCACCCCUACACACAUUACAUUCCAGACACACACUAGAUCGCUUGCACAACUCUGGAUCAUUUGCACACACACACUAGUUCCCUAUAUACUCUGAAUCUGCUUUUUUAAUUAAAAUAAAAACAUAAAUAUUUACAUUAAUCUAUCUCCCACACGCACACACAAUACCUCCAAACAUAUUUACACAAAGCACUCCUCACACACACAGCACCCUUCACAUGCAGCACCCUCACACUCAGCAUCCCUCACACACACAAACGCACCCUCGCACACUGAACCCCUUACACACAGAGCACAUUCACACACAACACCCCUCACACACAGCACCCCUCACACAUACACAUACCACCCCUUACACAAAUUGCACCUCUCUCACACACACAGCACCCCUAAUACACACAUUCCCUUCCAUGCACACACUAGAUCCCUUACACAACUCUGGAUCAUUUACACACACUAAAUCUCUAUAUACAUUCUGCAUACACACAAAUACACCCAAGAUCUCCUAUUCCUGCUCUGGGAUAAACACACAUUAGAUACCCUUCAAACACACUACAUUCCUGUAAUACAAACUCUGGAUCCCCUAUGCACACACUAGAUUCCUUGUAAGCAAACACAUACUACAUUCCCUAAACAAACACACUAUACAACCCCUAUACACACUCUCUCACUCUCUACAGCCCCUAGCCACACAUUACCCCACAAACACAACUGAAACUGACCUCUUUACACAACAUCACACCACAAUCCUCUUACUCUACACACACGCAAUCCCACAAGCAGACUCCAAACACAUGCACAAUACUCUUUCCUGACCCUUUUGUCUCCUGGUAUCCCACUUAUGGAGACACCAGAGACAACUUACAAGCAAACACAGAGCAAGCCUGUUAAUAAAAAUGCUUGAUCUAUGCAGAACAAAUACACAACCUUUUUCUGAUGCUAGAGCUCUUCAGCAGAGCUCUGCGCUUGGUCUGCCCUGGAAGAGCAUUGAACCAAUAUGCUUACUAUGAGAGGGGGCGUGCUUGCCAUUGGUGAUGAGAAAAUACACCCCUAUGACCUCGCCUCCUUUUCAGUGGACCGCUGUGAUUAAAAAAUGCCUGGACUGAAUUUUUCCCCCAGUCCAGCUCUGGUGAGGGGUGUGUGAGGUGGGAGACUGACAGCGUUAUUUACUAAAAAUUCAGAGUGAAUUUCAAUUUUAUGGCUGGACUAGCCAAACUUAAAACCGCAAAGGAGCUUUUAAAGUAAUCAAACAUUGAGUGGAUGUCUGUUUGUCACAAUCCGUUAUGCCAGUAAUUAGUGAAGUCCGAACUGUUCGUGAAUGGUUCGCCACGAACGGUUCGCCGCAGACUCAUCAUUGAGUAAACUUUGACCCUGUACCUCACAGUCAGCAGACACAUUCCAGCCAAUCAGCAGCAGACCCUCCCACCCAGGCCCUCCCACCUAUAUUUGGUUGGAAUAUAGUGCUGACAAUGAAUAGGUACUUAUAUAAAGACUGCUUUCUUCUUCUCCAAGAUGGCUACUGCUAAAAGAUACAACACACCCCAGAUUACUCGCAUCCAACAAUUUCUGAUAAACAGAGUGGUAAAAGAAUUAUACAAUUUAUACCUGAUUUUAUUUCAUAGUGUAAGAUAAUUAUUUUAACCCCUUAAAUCCGGAGGGCGUACUAUUACGCCCUGCAGGAGCCGGCUCUAAACGCCGGCGGGCGUAAUAGUACGCCCUCACUUUAAUGGCCGCCCACGUGGCCGGCGCUAUUCGCCCGCUACAGAUCGCGGUCGGGGGGGAUGCCCGGCCCCCCAGGCAACCCCCACUGUGGCCGGUGACCGCGAUCUGCAGUCACUGAUCGCAGUGACAGGCUGUCACUGCGAUCAGUUUUUAACGUGUGUCAGCCGAUUUCAAAUCGGCUGACACACGUGGCCAGCGGCUUUCUGCAAUGCAGAUCGCGGUCGGGGGACUUACCUGGCCCCCCAGGCAGUCCCCCUGGGGUCAGUGACCGCGAUCUGCACCUUCUGAGAUCGCAGUGACAGGCUGUCACUGCGAUCUCAGAGCGCUCUGAUCGCAGUGACAGCCUGUCACUGCGAUCAGUGUUACAUGUGUCAGCCUAUUGGCUGACACAUGUAACAGGCACAAAGAUCCCCCCUGCAGAUUGGAAGGGGGGAGUGCUUGUACCACCCAGGCACUCCCCCCUGUGGCCAAUUACCCAAUCUGCAGGAGGUGAUCACAGUGACAGGCAGUCACUGUGAUCACUGAUCCUGUGUGUCAGCCAGUGAUGUAAAAUCACUGGCUGACACUGUCUCUGCCCCCUGUCCUGUAAAAAUAAAUAAAAUAUUAGUAAAAAAAAAAAAAAAUUACAGUUAAAUAUAAAAUAUACUUAGAUCAUAUAUAUUAUAUAUAUAUAUGAUCUAAGUAUAUAUAUAUACACACAUACACACACAUUUACACAUACACGAAGUGUAUUUAAAUAUUAAUAUAUAUAAUUAUUUAUAUAUAUAUUACUAUCAAAUUACACGUAGACUAAUACUGAUUAAAUAUAUAUAUAUAUAAUUAUUGUUAUAUAUAUAUAUAUUUAUAUAUAAUAGAAAAAAAUUUAAAUACGUAAAAAAAAAAAAAUAAAAAAAAUAAUUAAAAAUAAAUAAUAAAAAAAUAUAUAGAUGUUUGUUAUUUCGUUCUAACUGUAUUGUGAUAUUAAUAUAUAUAUAUUUAUAUCAAAAUACACGUAGAACGAAAUAAUAUAUAUAUCUAUAUACAUAAAUAUAUACAUAUAUAUCACUAAAUAUAUACACCUAUAUAUAAAUAAAAAUAUUUUAAAAAAUUAUAUAUAUAUAUGUAUAUAUACAUAUGUAUAUAUAUACAUAUAUUAAUUCUACACAUAUAUUUAUGUAAUAUUUUUACAUAAUUAGGUAUCCUAAUUAAUUACAAUUAGCGGGACCUGCCUGACAACCCAUGCCGAAAGUAUAGGGAAUUUAAUUUGCUAGCACUAUAUUUAACCCUAUAACUUUCCAAGACACCAUAAAACCUGUAAAUUGGGGGUACUGUUUUACUCGGGAGACUUCGCUGAACACAAAUAUUAGUGUUUCAAAACAGUAAAAUGUAUUACAACAAUGAUAUCGCCAGUAAAAGUGAAGUUUUUUGCAUUUUUCACGCACAAACAGCACUUACACGGAUGAUAUUAUUGCUGCAAUACUUUUUACUGUUUUGAAACACAAAUAUUUGUGUUCAGCGAAGUCUCCCGAGUACAACAGUACCCCUCAUGUACAGGUUUUAUGGUGUUUUCAAAAGUUACAGCGUCAAAUAUAAGGCUUGCGUUUCAUUUUUUUCACAUUAAAAUUAGCCAGAUUGGUUACGUUGCCUUUGAGACCCUAUGGUAGCCCAAGAAUGAAAAUUACCCCUAUGAUGGCAUACCAUUUGCAAUAGUAGACAACCCAAGGUAUUGCAAACAGGGUAUGUCCAGUCUUUUUUAGUAGCCACUUAGUCACAAACACUGGCCAAAAUUGGCGUUUUUUUGCAUUUUUCACACAAACAGAUACUAACGCUAACUUUGGCCAGUGUUUGUGACCAAAUGGCUACUAAAAAAGACUGGACAUACCCCAUUUGCAAUACCUUGGGUUGUCUACUAUUGCAAAUGGUAUGCCAUUAUGGGUGUAAAUUUCAUUCCUAUCUGGCGAAUUUGAAUUUCAAAUGUAACGUGCUAUAUUUGACCCUGUAACUUCCCAAAGCGCCAUAAAACCUGUACAUAGGGGGUACUGUUUUACACGUGAGACUUUGCUGAAUACAAAUAUGUGUAUUUUAUUGCAGUAAAAGCAAACAGUAUUAUGACACUGACCGUUAAAAUGUCAUGUAGAACUAAAAAAAUCAAAAAAAAUCUUAUUUUCUCCCAUUUUUUUCAUAUUAAAUUAUGUCUCAUAGCUAAAUAUUUGAUAUUAAAUGAAAGCCCUGUUUCCCCUGAAUAAAAUUAUAUAUAAUAAGGGUGGGUGCAUUUACUAUGAAAGAGGUGUAUUACGGUUGGACAGACAUGUAGCGCAAAUGCCAGGUUUUGUUUACAUUUUGUUUCGUUCACACUGUGUACAUUUGGCUCCGUCCUUAAGGGGUUAAACAGACAUUUUUAAACACUAUUACCACUACAUCAUGCUGCAUCCCUGUGCCUCCCAACCUCCUGUCCCUCCAUUCUACUGUUAGGAAUCAUAUUGUUUCCGAACGCUUAUAAUGCUCACGUUCCCCUUUAAGUAUUCUUUAAGUUUUUGGUAUCUUAGGAAAACAUUGAUGUGCAUACCACUUUUUCCAUCCUUUUUCUGCUCCCAUGCACUACAACCUUCUUUUUUUAUCAUUCAGAGUAUAUUUGAAUAAUAAACAGUACAGAUGUUUAAUAUAAACAUUGUUAUUUAAACUUUUUUUUUUAUUAUUUACUGGUGCUUAGUAGAUCUUACUGCUAGGAAGACUUGCUGGCUGUUUUGCUGAACAAACAGGAGUUUAGGUUACAGGUGAAUGCAUCCAUGCCAGUAAUAACAGUUUUGUCUUUGAUUGUCACACAAUAUUUUUAAGCAGUUUUUAAUUUGUCAAUUCUUUUUAUUAUUAUUAUUAUUAAAAGUUUAAUAAAGUUUCUAUUUUCUCUGUUUUCAGACAUUCUUUGAGAGGAAUUGUCGGUCUGAUGAUUGCGCUGCAGAUUUAAACGUAAAGGGCAAACUUCUAAUAUCAAG